GAAAGAAGGACUUUCUUUGAGCAGAUGCACAUGAUACUCCAGAGGACUGGUUGGUGGAGAAGUUAUAGCUUCAUGAGAUCAGACAACAGGUACCCAGGAAACAGAGCAGUGCUGUGAAACCAAAAUCGUUACGUUGAAUGAAUUCAUUACUGUUGGACUCGCCCCUCCAUGAAAUAGCACUAUGCAGCCAAUUGGCGUUCAUGGUCACAGCCCUUUAUUGGAUCAUCAGGGUUUAUAGUCCAUAAAAAAUACAAAUACAGAACGAAACAAUAACAAUAUGCUACAUCUGACCUACUAUUCCAUCUUAUGAGAUUUUGUCUCUGUCAUGUAUGCCGAAAUAUAGUGACUGACUGUACCCUUUGUUAAGAGGCAGCCUGUGCCCUGCCUAUGGGUUUCAACAUUCCAUUGCCCCAAAAUGGAGCAGUUACUUAGGAUGUAGAAAAUUGUGAGGGACAUGCUAGCUAAUUGAGGCAGGGUCUCAAAAAAAAAAAAAA